GAUGAACGCUAGCGGGAGGCCUAACACAUGCAAGCCGAGCGGUAUUGUUUCUUCGGAAAUGAGAGAGCGGCGUACGGGUGCGUAACACGUGUGCAACCUGUCUUUAUCUGGGGGAUAGCCUUUCGAAAGGAAGAUUAAUACUCCAUAAUAUAUUGAACGGCAUCGUUUAAUAUUGAAAGCUCCGGCGGAUAGAGAUGGGCACGCGCAAGAUUAGCUAGUUGGUGAGGUAACGGCUCACCAAGGCGAUGAUCUUUAGGGGGCCUGAGAGGGUGAUCCCCCACACUGGUACUGAGACACGGACCAGACUCCUACGGGAGGCAGCAGUGAGGAAUAUUGGUCAAUGGGUGCAAGCCUGAACCAGCCAUCCCGCGUGAAGGACGACUGCCCUAUGGGUUGUAAACUUCUUUUGUAUAGGGAUAAACCUACCCUCGAGAGGGUAGCUGAAGGUACUAUACGAAUAAGCACCGGCUAACUCCGUG
rnacentral:rRNA from 1 species